GGUUCCGUGGUGUAGGGGUUAACAUGCCUGCCUGUCACGCAGGAGAUCGCGGGUUCGAUUCCUGUCGGAACCGCCA
rnacentral:tRNA from 1 species